GACGAACGCUGGCGGCGUGCUUAACACAUGCAAGUCGAGCGGUAAGGCCCUUUCGGGGGUACACGAGCGGCGAACGGGUGAGUAACACGUGGGUGACCUGCCCUCAGCUCUGGGAUAAGCCUGGGAAACCGGGUCUAAUACCGGAUAUGACUCCAUGACGCAUGUUGUGGGGUGGAAAGCCUUGUGCGGCUGAGGAUGGGCCCGCGGCCUAUCAGCUUGUUGGUGGGGUGAUGGCCUACCAAGGCGACGACGGGUAGCCGGCCUGAGAGGGCGACCGGCCACACUGGGACUGAGACACGGCCCAGACUCCUACGGGAGGCAGCAGGUGGGGAAUCUUGCGCAAUGGGCGAAAGCCUGACCCAGCAACGCCGCGUGAAGGAUGAAGUAUUUCGGUAUAGUAAACUUCGAAAGAAUAGGGAAGAAUAAAUGACGUACCUAUUUAUAAGCUCCGGCUAACUACGUGCCAGCAGCCGC
rnacentral:rRNA from 1 species